GGCUGGUACGAUGGUAGUGGGUUAUUAGAACUUGUUAACAUUAGCGUCACUAAAGUUAGUAUACAAUCCCCCACUGCUAAAUUUGACUGGCUUAAA
rnacentral:Y_RNA from 1 species